rnacentral:rRNA from 1 species
GAUGAACGCUGGCGGCGUGCCUAAUACAUGCAAGUCGAGCGAACAGACGAGGAGCUUGCUCCUUUGACGUUAGCGGCGGACGGGUGAGUAACACGUAGGUAACCUACCUAUAAGACUGGGAUAACUUCGGGAAACCGGGGCUAAUACCGGAUAAUAUUUCGAACCGCAUGGUUCGAUAGUGAAAGAUGGCUUUGCUAUCACUUAUAGAUGGACCUGCGCCGUAUUAGCUAGUUGGUAAGGUAACGGCUUACCAAGGCAACGAUACGUAGCCGACCUGAGAGGGUGAUCGGCCACACUGGAACUGAGACACGGUCCAGACUCCUACGGGAGGCAGCAGUAGGGAAUCUUCCGCAAUGGGCGAAAGCCUGACGGAGCAACGCCGCGUGAGUGAUGAAGGUCUUCGGAUCGUAAAACUCUGUUAUUAGGGAAGAACAAACGUGUAAGUAACUGUGCACGUCUUGACGGUACCUAAUCAGAAAGCCACGGCUAACUACGU